rnacentral:rRNA from 1 species
CUAGUAAUGGCAGGUCAGCAUACUGCCGUGAAUACGUUCCCGGGCCUUGUACACACCGCCCGUCACACCAUGAGAGUUGGGAAUACCCGAAGCCUGUGAGCUAACUUUUAGAGGCAGCAGUCGAAGGUGGAAUCAAUGAUUGGGGUGAAGUCGUAACAAGGUAAC